ensembl:lncRNA
GGCGCCCGUGCAGCGCGAGCAGCGCGGCCGGGGCCUGCAGAAAGUUUCCGCGGCGGCAGGUGGACGGCAGGCUGGGACCUGUUGCAAUUCCUGAUCGUUCUGGCCGCGUUUCAUCAAGCAGUUGUGACUUGAGAACUGUCCCGGCCCUCGCGCCCCAUAACCACGCGGUUUCCUUGGCCUCCUUUGGCGCUUACGUCCCUUCUCGUCCCCCAGCAAGCUUCCUGCACGGCGAAACCGAGCCGCGUUUUGCGCCCCGUCGGGCGGCGGAAGGGUUAAGUCCCGCUGCGCUGAGCGUUUCGGCGCUCGUUGGCUGCCGGCCCAGCGCUCUCGGUGCCGUAUUGCAUCAGAGCGGGCAGGAGCACCUCGCUGCGCUCCCCCUCUGCGCGCUGUACUUGGAGCGCUUCGCCGUUUCCCACGGCAUGUUAAUUUUUUCCCUCCGUGGUCUCCAGGAUUCCUUCUCACGGGUUUCUUGGAGGAUGUUCUGCCCCGCUCCUCCCACCCAGGUUGAGGGCAGGGCGCCGCUCCGCUCUGCCCUACGCCGGGCGCCUGGAGCCCAUCUUUGCACCUCCGGCACACGGCGAGCCCUCGGUGCCGAAACGCUCCCCGCUCGGUGUCGAAACGUCGCCGCAGAGCAGUCCCGUGCGUUGCCCAGCGAGGUUCCCACCUUUGUCCCAGAUGACUGCAGAGGUCUGGCCAGGAUGUGUGCUGUCUUCCUGUGGUGUUGCAUAGCGCUCAGCGCAGCGAAGCUUCCCUCUUGAUGGAUGCCUUAGAGAUCCCACCCUUGAAGAUAAGAUCUGGAAAUUUCCAGGUGCGGUGUAUUGGGAGUGCAGUUUUCCUACCUCGGUGCUUGAGGGCUGCGAUCCUGAAAUGGUGGUGGAAAUCAAGUACUGUCCCCAGCCAGAUAACCUACAGACAAACUGAGCAGAAUUUGGGCACUUCAGUCCUCAACAGAAAAGGCACAGAGGAGGG